rnacentral:rRNA from 1 species
ACGUAGGUGGCGAGCGUUAUCCGGAAUGAUUGGGCGUAAAGGGUGCGUAGGUGGCAGAUCAAGUCUGGAGUAAAAGGUAUGGGCUCAACCCGUACUGGCUCUGGAAACUGAUCAGCUAGAGAACAGAAGAGGACGGCGGAACUCCAUGUGUAGUGGUAAAAUGCGUAGAUAUAUGGAAGAACACCGGUGGCGAAGGCGGCCGUCUGGUCUGGAUUCUGACACUGAAGCACGAAAGCGUGGGGAGCAAAUAG